AUGUAUCUCAAUACAGUGCCGGUGUAUAUUUACAAUGUUCAUACCUGCAAGUUGUUUUUUUUUUAUUAUAAAAGUGUAUUUUCCCAAUUUAGAUUGGGUUGGUGGGGUUUUUUUCAAUUUAUGCGUGAAACAAACCUCGAAACAAACAAUAACAGUAUAUUAAACGAGCAUCCGCAGCAAAUUCACCAAAACUGUGAACAAAGGUUUAGCUAGAGUGAUUACUGGAGCCAGUUAUGAUGAUAGGUCCACUGAUGUUUUGGAUGCUCUCGGUUAGCAAACACUUGAUGUGAAACGAUACAGACCUAUGCUUACCUAAGCCUAACAGUGAAUUUUUAAAGAAAACUUUUCGAUGUGUUUCACUGUAGUUAUUAUAUAAUUAAC